rnacentral:rRNA from 1 species
UUUCCGGUUGAUCCUGCCGCCGGCCACCGCUAUCAAGUUCCGACUAAGCCAUGCGAGUCAAGGUAUCGUAAGAUGCCGGCAAACUGCUCAGUAACACGUGGAUAAUCUAACCUUGAGUAAGGGAUAACCUCGGGAAACUGAGGAUAAUACCUUAUAAUUGCUUAAAACUGGAAUGUUUAAGCAAUAAAAGUUCCGACGCUCAAGGAUGAGUCUGCGACCUAUCAGGUAGUAGGUGGUGUAAUGGACCACCUAGCCUCAGACGGGUACGGGCCCUGGGAGGGGUAGCCCGGAGAUGGACUCUGAGACAUCAGUCCAGGCCCUACGGGGCGCAGCAGGCGCGAACACUGUGCAAUGCGCGAAAGCGCGACACGGGGAGCUUGAGUGUCUUGGCAUAGCCAAGACUUUUCUCAUUCCUAAAAAGCAUGAGGAAUAAGUGCUGGGUAAGACGGGUGCCAGCCGCCGCGGUAACACCCGCAGCACAAGUGGUGGUCACUUUUAUUGAGCCUAAAGCGUUCGUAGCCGGUUUUGUAAAUCUUUAGAUAAAGCCUGAAGCUUAACUCCAGAAAGUCUGAAGAGACUGCAAGACUUGAGAUCGGGUGAGGUUAAACGUACUUUCAGGGUAGGGGUAAAAUCCUGUAAUCCCGGAAGGACGACCAGUGGCGAAAGCGUUUAACUAGAACGAAUCUGACGGUAAGGAACGAAGGCUAGGGUAGCAAACCGGAUUAGAUACCCGGGUAGUCCUAGCUGUAAACACUGCCCAUUUGAUGUUGCUUUUCCGUUGAGGGAAGGCAGUGUCGGAGCGAAGGUGUUAAAUGGGCCGCUUGGGAAGUAUGGUCGCAAGACUGAAACUUAAAGGAAUUGGCGGGGGAGCACCGCCACGGGAGGAAUGUGCGGUUUAAUUGGAUUCAACGCCGGA